rnacentral:rRNA from 1 species
AUGGGCGGUCUUGGCCGGGUCGGGGCUCUGGGCAAGGUACAAGAACCCGAACGACCCAAUGAUGGCGCCCACCUUCCCCGACGCCGCCGAUAUGCCGUGGCACGUCGCGCGGAGCCUCGCGGGGUAGAUCUCUGCGGGGACGAUGAAGGUGGUGGCGUUGGGCCCGAAGUUGGCGAAGAAGAAGGUGAGCGCGUACAUGACGACGAAGCCGGCCUGGUGGCCCUGGCCCGUCCAGUAGUCGUAGGGCACGGCCAGGCCCACCAUGAAGGUGGUCAUCAUGAAGAAGCCCAUGAGCUGGAUCUUGAACCGGCCGACGGAGUCGAUGAAGGCGACGGUGAACCAGUAGCCCGGCACGGUGCCGCAGAGCGCGAUCAGGAUCUGGGCCCGUGCGAUGUGGAACAGCUCGUCCAGCGCGCUCAUCGUCGGCGCCGGCGGGAUCCACCCGAUGGCGCUGAAGAUGUCCUUCUGGAACAGGUUCUGCGAGUAGUAGGCGAUGUCCAGGAGGAGCCACGUGGACGCGGUGCCGACGAGGUGGAGCCCGUGCCGCCGCACGAACUCCCCGGAGAAGAGGCCGAACGACGGCGGCGGCGUGUGGGACUUGAUGGUAAUCACGGUCUCCAGAUCGCCGGCCUGCUCCUUGGUGAUCUCCACCUGGAGCACCUUGGACAUGUCGGCCGCGGCGCGCUCGGCGUUCUUGGCGAUGAGCGCCGUGUACCGCGCCGUCUCCGGCAUCUUCAUCCGCCAGUAGAAGGUGAGCGCGGCGGGGAGGGCGCCGAGCAUGAGGACGAUGCGCCACACGUAGUCCGCUUGCGCCGGGGUGGACGCCGCGGGGUCCGCCGCGUACGGCGGCGCCGGGAACAGGUCCCUGAACAGCGCCGUGAUCCCGAUCGCCACGCCGCCGCCGGCGAGGAUGCCGAACCCCUGCAUCGCGAAGACGGCGGCGAUGAAGGCGCCGCGCGUCCGCUUGUUGGCGUACUCGGACAUGAUGGUGGCGGAGAGCGGGUAGUCGCCGCCGAUGCCGAAGCCGAGCCAGAACCUGAAGAAGCAGAGCGUGGCCAUGACGCUGGUGGGCGUGUUGCCGAAGGAGAGCCCCGACGCGACAGAGCAGAGGAUCAUCAGCAUCAGCGUCAUGCCGUACACGCUUUUCCGGCCGACCUUGUCACCCAGCCAGCCGAAGAAGAGCUGGCCGGAGAGCGUGCCGACGAAGGCCACGCCGUUGACGACCGCGGAGACGGUCGGCGGGAGGCUGCCCGGGCGGGACGAGCCCGGGACGGUGUAGUAGAUGCGGCCGAUGAGCUUGGUGACGAGGGAGAUGCAGAAGAGGUCGUAGGCGUCGGUGAAGAAGCCCAUGCCGGCGACGAUGAUGGCCGUGAAGUGGUACCACUGCGUCUUGGCGCCGUCCAGCGCCGAGAGCACGUGCACCUGGUCGCCCGCCAU